rnacentral:rRNA from 1 species
CGGGGGGAGCAAGCGUUGUUCGGAUUUACUGGGCGUAAAGGGCGCGUAGGCGGCGCAACAAGUCACUUGUGAAAUCUCCGGGCUUAACCCGGAGCGGCCAAGUGAUACUGUCGUGCUAGAGUGCGGAAGGGGCUACUGGAAUUCUCGGUGUAGCGGUGAAAUGCGUAGAUAUCGAGAGGAACACCUGCGGCGAAGGCGGGUAGCUGGGCCGACACUGACGCUGAUGCGCGAAAGCCAGGGGAGCGAACGGGAUUAGAUACCCCGGUAGUCCUGGCCUUAAACGAUGGAUACUUGGUGUCCGGGGUUACAUAGUCCCCGAGUGCCGGCGCUAACGCAUUAAGUAUCCCGCCUGGGGAGUACGGUCGCAAGACUG